GGAAUAUUGGGCAAUGGGCGAAAGCCUGACCCAGCGACGCCGCGUGAGGGAUGAAGGUCUUCGGAUUGUAAACCUCUUUCAGUAGGGAAGAAGCGAAAGUGACGGUACCUAAAGAAGAAGCACCGGCUAACUAUGUGCCAGCAGCCGCGGUAAUACAUAGGGUGCAAGCGUUGUCCGGAAUUAUUGGGCGUAAAGAGCUCGUAGGUCGUUUGUCGCGUCGAUUGUGAAAAUCUGAGGCUCAACCUCAGACCUGCAGUCGAUACGGGCAAACUAGAGUGUGGUAGGGGAGACUGGAAUUCCUGGUGUAGCGGUGGAAUGCGCAGAUAUCAGGAGGAACACCAAUGGCGAAGGCAGGUCUCUGGGCCAUAACUGACACUGAGGAGCGAAAGUGCGGGGAGCGAACAGGAUUAGAUACCCUGGUAGUCCGCACCGUAAACGGUGGGCACUAGUUGUGGGAACCUUCCACGGUUUCCGCGACGCAGCAAACGCAUUAAGUGCCCCGCCUGGAGAGUACGAUCGCAAGAUUAAAACUCAAAGGAAUUGACGG
rnacentral:rRNA from 1 species